UACGAAGGGGGCUAGCGUUGUUCGGAAUCACUGGGCGUAAAGCGCACGUAGGCGGAUUUUUAAGUCAGGGGUGAAAUCCCGAGGCUCAACCUCGGAACUGCCUUUGAUACUGGAGAUCUUGAGUCCGGAAGAGGUGAGUGGAACUGCGAGUGUAGAGGUGAAAUUCGUAGAUAUUCGCAAGAACACCAGUGGCGAAGGCGGCUCACUGGCCCGAUACUGACGCUGAGGCACGAAAGCGUGGGGAGCAAACAGG
rnacentral:rRNA from 1 species